rnacentral:rRNA from 1 species
UACGUAGGGGGCAAGCGUUGUCCGGAAUCAUUGGGCGUAAAGCGCGUGUAGGCGGCCCGGUAAGUCCGCUGUGAAAGUCCAGGGCUCAACCCUGGAAUGCCGGUGGAUACUGUCGGGCUCGAGUCCGGAAGAGGCGAGUGGAAUUCCUGGUGUAGCGGUGAAAUGCGCAGAUAUCAGGAGGAACACCGAUGGCGAAGGCAGCAAACUGGUCGUCAACUGACGCUGAGGCGCGAAAGCGUGGGUAGCAAACAGG